UACAGAGGGGCAAGCGUUGUUCGGAAUUACUGGGCGUAAAGGGCGCGUAGGCGGCCUUCUAAGUCGAACGUGAAAUCCCCGGGCUCAACCCGGGAACUGCGUCCGAUACUGGAAGGCUUGAAUCCGGGAGAGGGAUGUGGAAUUCCAGGUGUAGCGGUGAAAUGCGUAGAUAUCAGGAGGAACACCGGUGGCGGAAGGCGGAUCUCUGGGCCUUACCUGACGCUGAGGCGCGAAAGCUAGGGGAGCGAACAGG
rnacentral:rRNA from 1 species